rnacentral:rRNA from 1 species
UAGGGAAUCUUCCGCAAUGGACGCAAGUCUGACGGAGCAACGCCGCGUGAGUGAAGAAGGAUUUCGGUUCGUAAAACUCUGUUGUUAGAGAAGAACAGCGCAUAGAGUAACUGUUAUGCGUGUGACGGUAUCUAACCAGAAAGCCACGGCUAACUACGUGCCAGCAGCCGCGGUAAUACGUAGGUGGCAAGCGUUGUCCGGAUUUAUUGGGCGUAAAGCGAGCGCAGGCGGUUAGAAAAGUCUGAAGUGAAAGGCAGUGGCUCAACCAUUGUAGGCUUUGGAAACUGUUUAACUUGAGUGCAGAAGGGGAGCGUGGAAUUCCAUGUGUAGCGGUGAAAUGCGUAGCUAUAUGUAGGAACACCGGUGGCGAAUGCGGCUCUCUGGUCUGUAACUGACGCUGAGGCUCGAAAGCGUGGGGAGCGAACAGG